rnacentral:ribozyme from 1 species
AGGAACGCUUGCUUGCUUGUUUGAAUGAAUAUUAAGCAUCGCGAAGGCCAAUAAAGAUCCGCCAUUCUGUAUUCCCAUUCAAUACAUCCACAGCGUACAAUACGAAAACAUGUCUAUCCGACUAUCUGGGCUUGAGUAUACGAAAGAACCCGGGCCAGCCCCUUGGCAGGAUUGGUGAUAUGGCUAAAUUGAGAAGA